CCCUUAGAUGUUCUGGGCCGCACGCGUGCUACACUGACCGGCGCAACAAGUUUCUUUCCUUGGCUCGAUAGGCCUGGGUAAUCUUUGAACGCCGGUCGUGAUGGGGAUAGAUCCUUGCAAUUUUUGAUCUUCAACGAGGAAUUCCUAGUAAAUGCGAGUCAUCAUCUCGCGUUGAUUACGUCCCUGCCCUUUGUACACACCGCCCGUCGCACCUACCGAUUGAGUGAUCCGGUGAAUAAUUCGGACUGCAGCACUGCUUGGUCUCCAGGCUUUGCAGCGGAAAGUUUAGUGAACCUUAUCACUUAGAGGAAGGAGAAGUCGUAACA
rnacentral:rRNA from 1 species